GUCUUCGCUGACUCCACGUGUCCACGUCACCUCUAGGCUGCUCUCGCUCGGAGUCAGGUAGCUUUCCGAAACUUCUCAGCCUGGAGAGCUAUUUCCUCACAUUCGGGGAAGAGGGACCACAACUCACUUCUCGUUAUUGAACGGGACUUCUGAGCCCUGGGUCAGAAGAGAAGGUCCUUGGAGUGAGGCCCCGGACUGGGAGGAGACCCGGGGCACCGGGAAUGCUGUAACGCCAUAGAACUCGUUCUGCAAGGCGCUCACACAGGGACGUAUGGAAAACUAGCCAUUGUGACAUUAAUCUUCAGAUGCUCCUCCAGCCAGUCCGGAUGGAUUCUCAUCUUCUGCACGGACUCCCUCAGGGCCCAGCGCUGCCUGACUGCCUACUAUAUUUCUACUUAACUUAGUUGUCUAGAAUACCAAGACAGAAUUUCAAGACCGCAGUAUUCACUGCCUUUGGCAGCCAGAGCAGUCACACCAUAACAGUAACCAGAAGCGUAACAUCUAGGGGCUGUGUUGGCAGCCCAGCUCCCAGCGUGGCGUGGAGGACCAGCAGAGUUGGCUUCCCUGGUAACUUGUUGGAAGCGCAGUCUCGGGCUCCACCCCCAGGCCUGUUGGGUCAGGUGAUACAUGGACAUUAAAGGUUUAAAAGCACUGGGCUGGCUGGGGUGUGACUCACUGGUACAGUGCUGACUCAGCAUGGGUGAGGCCCUGCAUUCCGUCCCCAGCACCAGGGGAGGAAAGUUAUAAAUCUGUAGCUACUUUAGAGGCUUUUGGUGGGUUGUCCCUCCUGACUUUCUGAGGCCGACCUUGCACGGUAUGUGGAAGCUCCCUAUUAUUCUUUAACUCUCUCCUUGAUGAAAAUGAUGUGGCUUUAAUUCUGCUGUAACAGAAGUCUAUGUAACAACUAUUUGUUCAAUUCCUGUCCCAGAUAUUCCUGUGUUCUAGGCUCUUGGAACACAUCCGAUAGAAAUCCAUGCCUGUCCUAACUAGUUCCUCUUAAGAUGACCAAGUAAUAAUUUUCUCCCCGAAUAAUAAAUUAAAGCUUCCAUGGAAA